GUGCCAGCAGCCGCGGUAAUACGUAGGGCGCAAGCGUUGUCCGGAAUUAUUGGGCGUAAAGAGCUCGUAGGCGGCUUGUCACGUCGAUUGUGAAAGCCCGAGGCUUAACCUCGGGUCUGCAGUCGAUACGGGCUAGCUAGAGUGUGGUAGGGGAGAUCGGAAUUCCUGGUGUAGCGGUGAAAUGCGCAGAUAUCAGGAGGAACACCGGUGGCGAAGGCGGAUCUCUGGGCCAUUACUGACGCUGAGGAGCGAAAGCGUGGGGAGCGAACAGGAUUAGAUACCCUGGUAGUCC
rnacentral:rRNA from 1 species